rnacentral:rRNA from 1 species
AUGCUCCGCCGGCUUCAGCGUGUUGGGGCGCUGGUGUUGGCCGCUCUCUGGCCUGGUGAGGUGAUUCCCCGCACCCCCAAUCAGACUGCCGACUGGCUGGAGGUGCCGGUCGGCCGCUUCGAGGCCUGGAAGGCUUCUGCGGCUCGGUCCGGCGUCAGGCGGGCGCUGGAGUUUGUCAAGGCCUGGUAUCCCGAGCUGAGUCUGGACCAGCUGGCCACCUGGCGGCAGGAGGCCGACACGGAGCUGGAGCCGGCGCGGCCGGCUAUCAUCCAGCGGGCUUCGGCGAUUGCCGACUACACCGACACCAGCGCCUUCGCUCCUGAGGUGGACGACAACGGCGUUGCCCAGCCGGAGGAGUGGUUCGGGCUGAACCCGGCAGAUGGCGAGGACUCGGCGGAGGAGAUCGACUCCAGCGACGAGGGCGAGGAGGAGGAGGAGGGUGAAGACGUCGCGCCAGAUGGUGGAGGAAGGCACGCGCGGGUGCACCGCCUGCAGCCGGCGAUGAUCAAGCCGAGACCCGCCAGCCGGCCACUCCUCCAGCGGCGCCGCCGUCUCCAUCGACCAGCCCGGCUCCCCUGCUGCGCCCUUUGUCUAGUCUGCUGCCUCUACUUUCCUGUUUUACCACUCUUGGAACAGUAUUUUGUUAAGUUUGCACAAUUCCACCCACUGGGGGUGUAUUCGAACUAUAUUGACUGCCGGCCUGUUGGGGGCCUUAUGUGUAAAUAUAAUUAUGCAUGCGUUUGGCUUUUCCUUAUUCUUUGCUUUUCAUCCUUCGGCUGUUUUCUUUGCCGCCCUCCCUUAGUUGCCGCCUUCCCAGCCGGACAGCUGCUCUGCAAUCUGUGGCUGGAGAAGUGCUUGGCCAGUUGGGAGGGCAAGUACUCUAGCUUUGUUGGAUUAUAG